CGUUGGUUCUGGGUUAAAUUACUGUUGCCUUUCUUGACCACAAGUACAAAUCGAUCGAAUUUUCUCGAGGAACACGCGAUCAAGUGAAUGGAUUUACACCUAUAGAUAAGCAUAUACUUUGAUGGCCUUGGUUGGAAACUAAAGGAGAUGAGAUCUCAUAUCUGGGAUCCUCCAUCAUGAUCACAGACCCCAUACCAAGGGUUAUAAGGAGCAGAACAUUGACAAGGGAGCUACAUAUAGCUGGAAACAGCACACCCUGGCAUCUCAUACCCAAACCUAUUCACACCAGGAAACAUGUUUUGUUAAAUUGGGUUUAACUGAAUGAAAAUCAGAAACAGAGAAUUGAAAAACUAGAUUUUCAGUAGGAUUCGAAUACUUGUUAACUUUUAUUUUCAAUGUGCUACAUGUAAAGUUGACAAAAAUUGCUUUUAGAGGAGACUGCUCUCCAUCAAAAAAAUAUUUUGAGCCAUUUUAAACUAAAAAGCCUUAAUACAUAUGUAGGCUUUGGUGUGAAUGAGGUAUUGGAGAAAUUUCACAGAAUUCCAGAACCUUCAAUAACUUUAAUGGAUUGAUCAAAAUGUUACCUCUAGGCUCCUGCCUAUAUACUCACAUGAGUUUUUAGUGAACUGCAAAUA